CCUACGGGAGGCAGCAGUGGGGAAUAUUGGGCAAUGGGCGCAAGCCUGACCCAGCAACGCCGCGUGAAGGAAGAAGGCUUUCGGGUUGUAAACUUCUUUUGUCAGGGACGAAGCAAGUGACGGUACCUGACGAAUAAGCCACGGCUAACGACGUGCCAGCAGCCGCGGUAAUACGUAGGUGGCAAGCGUUAUCCGGAUUUACUGGGUGUAAAGGGCGUGUAGGCGGGGAAGCAAGUCAGAUGUGAAAACCACGGGCUCAACCUGUGGCCUGCAUUUGAAACUGUUUUUCUUGAGUACUGGAGAGGCAGACGGAAUUCCUAGUGUAGCGGUGAAAUGCGUAGAUAUUAGGAAGAACACCAGUGGCGAAGGCGGUCUGCUGGACAGCAACUGACACUGAGGCGCGAAAGCGUGGGGAGCAAACAGGAUUAGAUACCCGAGUAGUC
rnacentral:rRNA from 1 species